rnacentral:rRNA from 1 species
GAAACUAACAAGGAUUCCCCUAGUAACUGCGAGUGAAGCGGGAAAAGCUCAAAUUUAAAAUCUGGCAGCCUUCGGUUGUCCGAGUUGUAAUCUAGAGAAGUGUUAUCCGCGCUGGACCGUGUACAAGUCUCCUGGAAUGGAGCGUCAUAGAGGGUGAGAAUCCCGUCUUUGACACGGACUGCCAGGGCUUUGUGAUGCGCUCUCAAAGAGUCGAGUUGUUUGGGAAUGCAGCUCAAAAUGGGUGGUAAAUUCCAUCUAAAGCUAAAUAUUGGCGAGAGACCGAUAGCGAACAAGUACCGUGAGGGAAAGAUGAAAAGAACUUUGGAAAGAGAGUUAAACAGUACGUGAAAUUGCUGAAAGGGAAACGCUUGAAGUCAGUCGCGUUGUCUGGGAAUCAACCUUGCUUUUGCUGGGCUUACUUUCCAGAUAAUGGGUCAGCAUCAAUUUUGAUCGUUGGAUAAAGUCAGGAGGAAUGUGGCAUCUUCGGGUGUGUUAUAGCCUCUUGUCGCAUACAACGGUUGGGAUUGAGGAACUCAGCACGCCGAAAGGCCGGGUACUUGUACCACGUUCGUGCUUAGGAUGCUGGCAUAAUGGCUUUAAUCGACCCGUC